ensembl:lncRNA
GCUCAGAGAACUGAUGACUUACUCAACAAUCAUCUGGGACAAAACCCAAGUGUUGCAACUGUUUGAAGGUUCUAAAAUAGCUGGCUCUAAUGACAAUUAAUGAGGCCAUGCACAAUGUGAUAAUCAUAAGGAACUGUGUUUGCUGACCAGUGCUGGACACUUAUUUAUAAGCUGGACUAAACCAAGCCAUAAAUUUGCAGAAAAGCAGUUUCUUUUUAAACCAUAGAUUCUGUUGUGAUUGUGUCACAGACCAUAUGAUUUUGCUGCAGGGCAAAUUCAAGAGGAGCUGUGCAUGCAAUCAAGACUUGCAGAAUCUCUGCACCCAGCAGAUCAGCCAGCUCUCACCAGCCUACCUGAGGCUUUCUAGUUCACUUAUCUUUAUUACCAGUCUUUGUAAGCAUGUACAAUUGUUUACUGAUUGCUUUGUUUAUCAUAAAGGAUCGGUCUGAAAAGAUAAAAGGUUUCAUUUCAAACAAGGAGUGUCCUAAACAUUUGGCAUCCAGUGUAACAAGCCACUCGAGGCUGCACACAGAUCUGGGGAAGUGUUUUCUUACUGUGUAGCAAUGGCUGAUGAGAUUGCAUUUCACCAUGAUUAGUCAUCUGUUUGGUAAAUGGUUGUUAAUAUUCACAUUGCUGUUGCUGUUUUAGCUCUGUAGCUAUGACAUUUGUGCCCAGAUGAUAUUCUUCCUGGCUUGCUGCUUCCUACAGACAACUAGUAUCAAGUGACAAGAUAUGGCAUAUAAUGUCUGAGUUUCUGAAACAGGAACUGACCCCUUUGGACCUGAGACUUGAGAGAUUCACUGAAGUGGCUUCAAUGAAGGCAGUCCUGCCAGAGGUGGGGAGCUGAAAUGCUAAACAUGAUGUCAAAAAUAUCCUUAAAUCAUGUAACCUAAGUUAAAAAAACCCUAGAAAUGAUAGACUAAUACAUAAUUCAAUAUUGAUAACUCAUAAAGUGAGAGAAGCAUAAGAAAAUAAAUGCUUAUUGGAAUAUAGCUUUGGACAUAAUGUGUGAGUGAUGCUAGAAACAGACUUUAAGAGAAGGAGGUAUUUGAGGCCUGAAGGAAAGUCUUAUUGGAUAACUAUGAAUUUUUAGUAAUAUGGUCUCAAUCUUUAUACAUAUUUCUGUAUUUCUUGCCUAUAUCCCAACGAAAUCACAAUAAUCCUGGUGUCCAGAUGACAGCUGUGUGAAUAUUAGAAUUAAGCACAAGAGAAUACUGUGUCAUUCCUUACUCACUUUAGAUCCACAGAGUUGGAUCAAAGCACUUCAUGAAAACAUUUCUGGCUGCUGCCUCAAGCAAAGUAGCAGGAAGCUUCGCUGUAAGAUUUAGAUCAGUGAUUUCAGUGUCAGAUACAAGAGCUGGCAAGGCUGAUUUAUGCCAAUAUUAUACCACAGCUUGGCCAAAGAGCAGGUCAGGCAUUAUUCUGGAGGAAGGGCAUGAAGAAAGGAUUUUUGUACCAUUUCAUUCAGCAGUGACAUCAGAGCAGUGGAAAUCAUGUUUCAGUUCUGACUACAGGAAAAAUAAUCAGGCAGCUUUAUUUUUAAAAUCAUAUCCUUCCUGUACCCUGUCUAAGGAGUAGGAAGAUGAAUUUGAAGGGUAAAUGUUUGGAGAAUCAUAAUUUUCCUCUCUGUUUUGUCAUGGCAUUAAUAGAUAAUCCAUCAAAUAAUUGAUGACUUUAUCAAGACAGACCUGCUGUUUUUAAAGGUAAAAUUUUCUAUCAUAACCAUUUCUUUCUAGUGUCCAUACUAGGAGAACCAUUACUGGCAGUGAGUGGUUGUUCUUCUCAUAAUCCUUUACAUGAAGUGCCAAGUGUUCUGAGAAAAAGAAAUCUAUCAUUACCUCUUUUGACACCACACUUCUGUCUCACUCUCUAGGGAAGAUAAUAUGAUUUGCAUGCUUAAAUAUUUUGCUGUACUGUGUUUUGCAGUCUGGCAGCUGUUAUCAGUUAUGAUGAUCAAAUAACAUUACGAGAGUUGGUAAUUAAGAAGGAAACAGUACUAGAAGGACAGCAAAGUACUAAUAUUUAAUUUCACAAUUCUGUUAAUCAAUUGCUUUUCUGGGGAAUCAUUUCCAGUUUUAGACUAGAUAUAUACUACUUCUGUUUAACAUGAUAAAUUACACUGAAGUGUGGGAUCCUGUUGUCAUCUUUGAGGUUUCUCACGGGAAUUUCAACACUUGUAUCAUUGUACUAACUGUUGAAAUUGUGUUGGAGUUUUUGUUCUGUUUGCUUAGCAUUUCAGCAGUUAAGAAAAAACAAUUAUGCUAUCAGAUUAUUUGGCUUAAUGUAUCUACCUUGCUUCUCUUUAUAUCUGUCUUUGUACAUUGAUCAUUGCUUUGAAACUGCAUUCUGGUACAACUCUGUAAGUAUCUAGUAUUACUGAAAUGAUCAAAAGUCAUAGAAAUUUUUAUCUAGCUUCAACAAAUCAGUAUAUGCAAAAUUAUAUACAUUUAUAAAAAUAUAUUUAUUUGUAUGUGUGCAAGUCCUGUGAUUUUUAGGCAGGAGAAAUUUAAGGUGAGAUGAAGGUUUACUUUUUUUACACGUUAUUGAGAACAUAUUACAGCAUGUACGAUAUGGCUAAAAGGCUUUUAAAUGUACAUCAACUUCUGAACAUCAUUUAGCUUCUUUUACAGAAACCUACUGCUGUAAAAGCAAAAGCUAGUAAAUCCAGCAUGCAAUUAUUUUUGGGGCUAAACUGACAUCUGCUGGUGUUCUGCAAUAGUGUGUGUGCAAUCAGUGUGAUGACAAAACAAUAUGACAAAAUGUACAUGUUCUUUGUACAUUUCCAUGGUGCUGUUAGCAGCCCUGGUGAUGGCUCAACACAGCAAAGAGAAGCUGAACAGUGAAUAGAGCAGGUGAGGCUGCUGAUCACACUGUGCCACAGACUGGGGAUGGAGCAGAGCUCUCGUGAUUCCAUCCUGCUGCAUUUGUGUGUCAGGCUUCUGAAACUGCCAUGGGGCCCUUUUUUCUUAUGAUUUUUUUUUAAACAAGUUAUGUUUAUAAUAUUCAGGUACACAGCUCAUGGGGAAGCAGGGGGAGGGGAGAUAAAAACCUGUAUCAGUUUCUAGCCACAUUUCCUCACAUACACCUUGAGCUGGCACUGGCCAUGUCCCACCCCAGUCACCCGGUCUGCUGCAGGGAGGGAAUUUCUGUGGGUGCCAACGCAGCUUUGGGGAAGCUGCACGGGCUUCCUGGGGCCUAACCCAGGUAGUUUGUUGGGCUGCAGCUCUAUUCCAUUAGACUAUGAAAUUUGGCACAAUAUAACCCCACUUGUGUUAGAGAUCAGAGGGGCUGAAUGCAGCUGGCCUUAAUUUCUGGUUAUUAUCAAUUUGGCACUCUAGUCUGGUUGUGUUUAAUAAGAACAUCCACAAUCACAGAUUCACAAAUAGUGCUACUUACUGAAGCAACAGAAAUACAGAUUUGGAAUUGCUGUUGAAAAAUGCUGUUACUGCAUUAGCACCAGCCAAUAGUUAAUUAAGAUAAGUUAGCUUCAAGCUAAAUUAAAAAUUCAGUAUUUCAUUACACUUCACAGUUAAUUAAGCUUAGUUUCACCCAAGUAUGGUCUGACACAGAGACAUGAACUUUACUAAAGAGGGAUCUCUCCUUUGGGGAGGAGAGAGGAGCAAAACCAUCCACUUGUUUAUGAAAUGGGGAGCUAUGGGGAAUAUUCUCACCCUCUACAUGGAGGAUUCCAAAUAUCAAUUUUGUAUUUUCAGAUAAAUGGAGGUGAGACUGUUAUCAAAUACAAUUGGUUACCUGUUACUUUCAUCUUAGGUAAGGGGGACAAAGGCACUUUCUCAGUUGCAUGCUGGUGUCUGUUUCCUAGGUAAAUGAGGGAUAAUGAGGGUUUCGGUUACUGUUGGUCAGGCUGAGUUAGGAUUGAAUCAAAGGAAGAACAGAAACAUGAUACUUUAGUAUUGCUUCCUCCUCCACUCAGAUGAGGCAGCAGUAAAGGCCAUCUGACCUUUGCUUGACUAUCAUUACUCCCAUCAACAUUUUACUACUGCACAUCAUCAUCAAAGAAUCACAGAACAGUGUGGGUUGGAAGGGAUCUUUAAAUAUCAUUUAGUCCAAGGCCCCUACAAUGAGCAGAGACACCUUUCAGUAGACCAGGUUGCUCAGAGCCCUGCGCAACCCAGCCUUGAAUGUUUCUAGGGGCAUCCACCACAUCUCUUGGCAAACUGUGACAAUAGUUUACCACCCACGUUAUAAAAGCCUCCUUUUUUAUAUCUAAUCUAAUCUAAAUCAACCCCCCUUCUUCACUUUAAAAUGAUCAUAUCUUUUCCUGUUGCAAUAGGCCCUGUUAAAGUUUGCCUCCAAUCUUCUUAUAGGCCCCCUACAAGUACUGAAAGGUACAGUAAGGUCACUCUGAAGCCUUCUCCAGGCUGAACAUCUCCAGCUCUCCCAGCUUGUCUCCACAGCAGAAGUGCUGCAGCCCUUGGCACAUCUUCAUGGCCACCUCUGGACUUGCUGCAGCAGCUCCAUGCCCUUGUUACACUGGGGGCCACAGACCUGAAUGCAGUCCUGCAGGUGGAGUUUUGUGAGUGGAGCAGAGAGACAGAAUUCCCUUCCUUGGCCUGCUGGCCACACAUCUCCUCACAGGACCAGAUGUCUACUUCUAAUACAGCUUGCUGUGUGUGGAUAAGGGGGCUGAGGCCCUAUCUCCAUAUGAUGUGGGAGCACAGUCUCUACUUUGCUGAGGCACUAUACUGGGAGCUCUACACUUGAGCCCGGACACCAUAAAGUGCUUAAGCCUCACUCAAGUCAGGUGUAAUAUAAGCAAGUGCCUCAACUCAUCCUUGCCCAACCAGUCUUAUCUAUUCUCCACAGCAAACCUGCCAAUUUUCCACAAGCUUGUUACUGAGA